rnacentral:rRNA from 1 species
GACGAACGCUGGCGGCGUGCUUAACACAUGCAAGUCGAGCGAGGCCCCUCCUUCGGGAGGGUGUCCUAGCGGCGAACGGGUGAGUAACACGUGGGCAACCUGCCCUCAGCUCUGGGAUAACUCCGGGAAACCGGGGCUAAUACCGGAUACGACCUCCACGGGCAUCUGCGGAGGUGGAAAGUUUUUCGGCUGAGGAUGGGCCCGCGGCCUAUCAGCUAGUUGGUGGGGUAGUGGCCCACCAAGGCGACGACGGAUAGCCGGCCUGAGAGGGCGACCGGCCACACUGGGACUGAGACACGGCCCAGACUCCUACGGGAGGCAGCAGUGGGGAAUAUUGCGCAAUGGGCGAAAGCCUGACGCAGCGACGCCGCGUGAGGGACGAAGGCCUUCGGGUUGUAAACCUCUUUCAGCAGGGACGAAGCGAAAGUGACGGUACCUGCAGAAGAAGCACCGGCCAACUACGUG